rnacentral:ribozyme from 1 species
UGCCCAGCAACUCCUAUCCCUACCUCUUCGUGGUACCGGCAGGAAACUUCAAGCAACCUUAGGGAAGA